rnacentral:misc_RNA from 1 species
UUUUAACCAUAAAUUACUUGCAGGUGAUAGACUGUUACAUAAAUUUAAUAAAAACUAAACAGCAACUAAAAUGCAGAUCUGGAGGUCGUGUACACAUAGAAAAUGCUCUUCAGUUCAACUUUUUAAAGCGAGACAGUGAUGUUAAAACUAAAACAGAUGAGCUAUAUCUAAUUACAGACAUGACACAAAUAUGUAGUGCUGAACGAAGGGUUUUACUCCACCUAGACCAUGAUAUGGUGUUUAUUCCAAUAAACAUCCGAGGAAUGCACUGGUAUCUUACCGUCAUCAAUGCAAGAAAUAUAGAGAUACAAGUACUCGAUUCACUUGGUACUACAUUUGACCGCAAUGACCUCACUGACUCGAUUAAAGGGCAGCAAAGGCAAAUUAAUAUGGUAUCUCAGCGUAAAGAGUUAAAAGAUCACAGGUGACCAAACCUCCAAGUUGCUUAUUGGCCGCUGAGAGAAAUAGAUAUGGGAUAUGCAAAGCAGACAGAUGG